UCUCAGCUCCGUCGCUUCACUCGCCCCCUUCCUCUUCAUCUCCGAUUCUUCCUUUUUUCAACAACUGAACCUCCCUCAUCUCUCUAAAUUCUUUCUUCUCUUUAAACCGUGCCCUUCAAGCUCCUGUUUUUGAAUCUCAUCUUUCUCUCAAGAUAUAAAUCUUUUAGUCUUGCAUUUCAAAAUUUCGAUUGAGGUUUUCAAUUGCGGCUUCAAUGGCGAGAUCUGGCAUCUGAUUCCUCCAUCGGGGAUCAAGCCACGUCGUCUCCUCCAACAAGAAGAAUUUCUCCACCUCCGCUCAUUACGGGGAUGCUCGGAGUUCCCAUGGGGGCAAGACUUGUGGUAUCCUUUUCUCUUUUUCUUUUGCCCAACUAUUAUGACUAUUUUGAAAGUUUGAGUAAAACCUUCACCAGUCCGAGACUCAUGUAAGCUAAAGGAGAUUUUUGCUAUUGGUGUUGUUCUGGGUACUUUAAUCGCUGUUAUGACAGUAAUUUUUUUCUGGCUUGCACGAGAUACUGACUUCUUCUCGGACAAUUUUGGACUAAGAUCGAUUAGAGAAGAGGAUGAGCAGCUUAUUGCAGCUUUGUAUCUUCAAUAGAUACGACAAUUGUCGCAAAAGAGUGUGGAAAUGUUAUCAAGAACCAUACAGCAUGUUGUCAUUCUAUGAGCAAAUAUAUUUCUCAUUUGCAAAAGCAAAGUUUCAUAACCAACCUACAAGCAUUGGAUUGUGCUGCCAAGCUUGGGCAUGCAUCAGUUGCAGAAGAUAAAUGUCAGCACCAACAUUUAUACAUCCUGUCAUAUUACUCUAAAAGACUUUUCACUUCAAGUUGGCUCAAGAGUAUGGAUGCCUCUUGCCAAGUUUGCCUUCAGAUGGAACUUUUGAUCCUUCUGCAGGGAUUAGUUUCAUUUGUGAUCUUAAUGAUAAUAUUGCUGCCCCUUGGCCUUCUGCAUCACUGGCACCUUCAUCUUCCUGCAAUAAGAGUAUGGUCUAACUCUAUCCAUUUUCAUUCUCAUUCCCAUUCACCCGAAAAUUGUUGCAGAUGCACGUCUCAAAUUCAUAUGAGCAUUACCUGUUUAAUAUAUUGUUUUGGGAGUGUGAACAGCAUGGGCUAAUUCAUGCUAAAGGGCAUCAUGUAUGGUUUUAAUUUGGUCUAAUUUGUGCACCAUUUUGUUUUGGAGAUAUGUUUCCAGUAGUCUGUUCUAAAGUUUAUACUAAGGUAAAUUGCAUAUUGAUCGUGUCAAGUGUAACAAUGCUAGAGUCCUAAAUAAGUUCAAACCACUUCGAAAUAACCCCGAAAAGUUUGGGUAUAUCUUAACGAUAAAAAACUUUUGAGAUGUCAUAUUAACAUAAAUUGAGAAAUAUGCCAGAGUUUAAACUUAAUUAUAGAUUUUACGAUGGUUAUCUCAAAGUGGGUCAAGUUUUUUAGUGGUUUUAUGUGAAUUCUACACUUGAUUUGAGUCAUAUAAGGGGAUAUGUAGUAUCAUGUAUGAUAGCUAUAGACCUAAUAGUACAAAAGAAGAGAUGUGAUUAUGUAUGGUGGACCUUGUCUACACAAUUAGAUGGCCAUCAUAGAAAAUCACAUAUUACUAAGGAGAAUGCAACAUUGUGUGCCCAUUUAAUUUUAAAAUUAGUGUUAUCAGUAAAAGCAAAAUAGACUAUUAAAGUAUCAAUGCAAAUUAACUAUUAAAUUUCGUAGAAUUGAUAUAUAGCUCAAUACAACCAUCAAUUUUAAGCUCUUAUCUUUGUCACUCGAGCAAGGAGCUGGUCCGAUGUUGAGCGGCCCGGUCUUUUGCUUCUUGGUGCCUUCGCAGCUGCACAACUGGUAGCUACAAUAAUUGCAACGUAUGCACACUGGGGCUUUGCUCGCGUUAAAGUUUGUGGAUGGGGACGGGCAGGAGUCUUAUGGCUCUAUAGCAUCGUCAUCUACAUUCCGCUUGAUAUCCUUAAGUUCAUGAUCUGCUACAGUCUGAACGGGAAAGCUUGGUGAAGCCUCCUCGAGAACAAGGUCAUUGUUGAUUCUUGUGACAUUUAUUUUCGCUACGUUCGUGUUUUCUAUUUCUCAAAUAAAAUUGGAAAAGUACAUACAACAUUCACAACAAAGAAGGAUUAUGGAAAAGAGCAGAGGGAGGCAUAGUGGCCUCUUGCUCAGAGAAUGCUUCAUGGGCUUCAUAAGGGUGAUUUUUUCUGGCCUCUUCAAUGACAAGAAUAGAGAGUUGUCUAAGAUUGCUGAGCAGGCGAAGAGACGAGCUGAGAUGCCAAGUGAAUGGAAAGGAGACUACUACCCUUUAUAAGUUCUUAAAAUUAAAGAAAGAAGGUUUUUUUGGCGAUGGCAUCAAGUGUAAUUUCACUAAAUUCUUUGUGGACAAAGAUGGAAAAGUCGUGGAAAUAUAUGCACUAACAACCUCACCUUUGAAAAUGGAGGUACAACUUUGACAAUGUAUUGUAUAAUUUUGCUUCACUGUUAUUUGUACUUAUUAUUGCAACUAUACUUUAUCUUCCAAAAAACAAUACAGAGUUUUUUGGGGUUCGCAAGAAUUUAAGUGCCUUCUUUGAGGGACUAUAUUGCUGGUAA